rnacentral:lncRNA from 1 species
UCUGGAAUAAUCCCUUUUUAAGACAAACCCUCACUGUUUCUGUAAUUGCAUUCCAGGGAGCUAUUCUGUUCUGAAUCAGCAUGGGAUAGAGUGCCUAGAAGACGUUCAGACCAAGCUCAGCUAGCGCGUCCCUGCUGGUUCUCCAUUCUGCAUCCGUGCAGCCACGUUCUAUUGAUGGCCUGUUGUGAUUUCAAUGGAACAUCAUGGGAUGUACCUGGCACGUCGGGCAGCACUGGAUGGAGGUGCCUUUAGCCCAAUGUACCUGGCAUGGUAAGCGGCAACCAAGUGGUUAAAUCUGCAUUCUACUGCUCACAGUUUCAGCUUGUAUAGCAGGGUGUUCCUGCUUUGCUGCAGCCUUGCACUGA